rnacentral:rRNA from 1 species
UACGAAGGGGGCUAGCGUUGCUCGGAAUUAUUGGGCGUAAAGGGCAGGUAGGUGGUCUCGUUUGUCUAGGGUGAAAUCCCUGAGCUUAACUUAGGAAGUGCCCUGGAAACGGCGAGACUGGAGUACUGGAGAGGUUCGUGGAAUUCCCGGUGUAGCGGUGAAAUGCGUAGAGAUCGGCAGGAACACCCAGGGGGAAACCAGUCGACUGGGCAUCUACUGACGCUGAGGUGCGAGAGCGUGGGGAGCGAACCGG